UUCCGGUUGAUCCUGCCGGAGGUUACUGCUAUCGGUGUUCGCCUAAGCCAUGCGAGUCAUAUGUAGCAAUACAUGGCGUACUGCUCAGUAACACGUGGAUAACCUGCCCUUGGGACCGGCAUAACCCCGGGAAACUGGGGAUAAUUCCGGAUAACGCAUAUGUGCUGGAAUGCUUUAUGCGUAAAAUGGAUUCGUCUGCCCAAGGAUGGGUCUGCGGCCCAUCAGGUAGUAGUGGGUGUAAUGUACCUACUAGCCAGCGACGGGUACGGGUUGUGAGAGCAAGAGCCCGGAGAUGGAUUCUGAGACAUGAAUCCAGGCCCUACGGGGCGCAGCAGGCGCGAAAACUUUACAAUGCGGGAAACCGUGAUAAGGGGACACCGAGUGCCAGCAUCAUAUGCUGGCUGUCCAGGUGUGUAAAAUACACCUGUUAGCAAGGGCCGGGCAAGACCGGUGCCAGCCGCCGCGGUAACACCGGCGGCCCGAGUGGUGAUCGUGAUUAUUGGGUCUAAAGGGUCCGUAGCCGGUUUGGUCAGUCCUCCGGGAAAUCUGAUAGCUUAACUAUUAGGCUUUCGGGGGAUACUGCCAGACUUGGAACCGGGAGAGGUAAGAGGUAC
rnacentral:rRNA from 1 species